GAUGAACGCUGGCGGCGUGCCUAAUACAUGCAAGUCGAGCGAACAGACGAGGAGCUUGCUCCUCUGACGUUAGCGGCGGACGGGUGAGUAACACGUGGAUAACCUACCCAUAAGGCUGGGAUAACUUCGGGAAACCGGAGCUAAUACCGGAUAAUAUAUUGAACCGCAUGGUUCAAUAGUGAAAGACGGUUUUGCUGUCACUUAUAGAUGGAUCCGCGCCGCAUUAGCUAGUUGGUAAGGUAACGGCUUACCAAGGCGACGAUGCGUAGCCGACCUGAGAGGGUGAUCGGCCACACUGGAACUGAGACACGGUCCAGACUCCUACGGGAGGCAGCAGUAGGGAAUCUUCCGCAAUGGGCGAAAGCCUGACGGAGCAACGCCGCGUGAGUGAUGAAGGUCUUCGGAUCGUAAAACUCUGUUAUUAGGGAAGAACAAAUGUGUAAGUAACUAUGCACGUCUUGACGGUACCUAAUCAGAAAGCCACGGCUAACUACGUG
rnacentral:rRNA from 1 species